rnacentral:rRNA from 1 species
UGAACGCUGGCGGCGUGCCUAAUACAUACACGUCGAGCGAACAGACGAGGAGCUUGCUCCUCUGACGUUAGCGGCGGACGGGUGAGUAACACGUGGAUAACCUACCUAUAAGACUGGGAUAAUUUCGGGAAACCGGAGCUAAUACCGGAUAAUAUAUUGAACCGCAUGGUUCAAUAGUGAAAGACGGUUUUGCUGUCACUUAUAGAUGGAUCCGCGCCGCAUUAGCUAGUUGGUAAGGUAACGGCUUACCAAGGCGACGAUGCGUAGCCAACCUGAGAGGGUGAUCGGCCACACUGGAACUGAGACACGGUCCAGACUCCUACGGGAGGCAGCAGUAGGGAAUCUUCCGCAAUGGGCGAAAGCCUGACGGAGCAACGCCGCGUGAGUGAUGAAGGUCUUCGGAUCGUAAAACUCUGUUAUUAGGGAAGAACAAAUGUGUAAGUAACUAUGCACGUCUUGACGGUACCUAAUCAGAAAGCCAUGGCUAACUACGUG